UACGUAGGGUGCAGCGUUAAUCGGAAUUACUGGGCGUAAAGCGUGCGUAGACGGUUAUGUAAGUCAGGUGUGAAAGCCCCCGGGCUCAACCUGGGAAUUGCAUUUGAGACUGCAUAGCUAGGGUGCGGAAGAGGGAAGCGGAAUUUCCGGUGUAGCGGUGAAAUGCGUAGAUAUCGGAAGGAACACCAGUGGCGAAAGCGGCUUCCUGGUCCAGCACCGACGUUCAGGCACGAAAGCGUGGGAGCAAACAGG
rnacentral:rRNA from 1 species